ensembl:ncRNA asRNA:CR45046 antisense RNA:CR45046
AUUCAGCUUUGUCUUAUGGGUUUGGAUUCCCAUUCGUUUCGCGCGAAGCUUGAGGAGCAAGCUUGUGGCACUUUUCCUGCUCGGCCAGCUGGCGCUCCUUUUCCAUUUUGGCGAACUUGCUGCCCAUAUAGAGCUGCUCCUUGAAUCGAUUCUUUCGCCGCUCAUCCAUACUGUAUCGUCGUAGCAUAUCCCGUCUGUCCACAAUCGACAUGCAGAUGUCCUGGCAAUCCCGCGACGGCUGGCAGAAGCUCCACGAACCGAAAAUGGUGUCCACACAGCCGCAGGUGCGACAAUAGCCAACAAAGUGACCGAUCAGAUUGGAAUUCGCCUUGCGGAAGGAUAGAGAAAGUGGCCCGCCCAGGAUCAUCAUAGCUUGUCCCGAGAAAUACCAAUCGGUGAGAUUAUCCAGGAGAUCGUGGGCCCUCGGCGGCACUGUCUCCUGCACACUAAUAUUUAGCUUAAUGCCAUGGUAAUUGGGAGUUUUCAAGUCGGCCGCAUCCUUCAACUGCGUCCUGUUCAUCUUGACGCACUGUCGUCUCGUCCUGCGAUAGGUACGACCUUUGUGUUGGCUACAGGUCGGCUUUUCCGCUUCUUCGCCAUCUGAAUUUGUUGGCGGGGUCUUGAUAUUUAUGCGAAUGCCAAGGACUUGAGAUUCCCAGGAUCCGUUUAGAUCGCAGGGCGCACCUGAAGUUUUAAACUUUAUAUACAUACAUGAAUCUUAGCUCUACCACCUAUUCUUACCAUCAGCUGGAUCCACGAAGCAGCAGGGCAGCUUUCUCUCCUCCUCCUCUUCCGACGAUUGAUUGCUUGACUUGCUUGCCUGAAUGCUCUCCAAUCGUUCCAGGAUCUUGUCUAGAACCGGCGAAAUCCCCAGCUGGUCCUCUGGCUGUUGAUGCGGCGUCUGUGAUGGUGGACUUGGGACUUGGCACAUGAUCUCUGAUCCCUUUCGGAAACUACUUCCGAUCUGACUUGCUUUUACACGAUAUUCAUAAUUUCAAAUAGAUUUACAGCGAUAUACUCACUGACUUACCUGAUGGUAUGCGAUUGGGUGCAUAUCUCAAUCCACCAUCGGCUGCAUUUUGACCGGUUCCCACAAUCCUUUGAGCCACCUCCAAAGGUGAUAGAUUCAUUUGAGUGGCCAUGGUGUCAAUGACAUUACUACCGCCCAGCUGUGAUGGCUGAUUGACUAGCACUUCGGGAAACGGUGCUUGCAAAACGUGGCCAGAAACAGGAUUAUUCAUGAAUAUGUUCCUUUUCAUGGGUAUCCUGGCUGGAUUUUUGCCCCUCUCCAAAACCUCCUUCCACCAACUUUGCUUUGUUUUCAACGCCUGAUUGAGGUUUUCGAUUUGCUUCUGAUACUCAUCCACCAAGUUAAAGAAUGAAGAUUGCUUGAUGGCCUUCAAGCCACCUAUUAUCUGUUUGGGAUCGAGUCCUGAGAAAACCGAUUGUAUUUUUGGAACACUCUCCAUCACUUUAGUUUCGAUUUUCGUAUUAAGUUUAGAGCUAGUUACUUUAUCGGGCUUCUUUUCGGGGACUACAUUCUCUUCAAUGGUCUUGCUAGAUGGCUUAUAGUGCGGCUUACUCUCUGAUUCUUUCUUAGGUGAUUCAUUGAGACCAGGCUUUAUCAAUGGAAUGUCAUUCCAAACCAGCUGACGAUUUUUGGAGUUUGGUAGAUAAUAGGGCUUAAGACCGCCGUUCUGAUUACUUUCCUUGUUCAUUUUGAUAAAUGUGUUCAGAGCCUUCAAAUAGUUAUUGCCUUGGCUCGGAUUUUCAUUCGAAAAGCAGCUUUUAGUUGGGGUCUUACUCUGUGGUUCCUUACAUUUUGGCGUUGUCGCUUUUGGUUUAUCACACUUAUUGCUCGUAAUUGGUUUUUCAAUGGGAACACACAUCUUGGUUGUGGCCUUAGUUUCUGGUUCGUCACACUCAACAGUAGUCGCUUUUUGUUUAUCACACUGACUUGGAAGGAUGUCCUCACUGUUCAUCCGGCGACCCGACUCGCUAUCCGAAGGAUAAUCCGUUUCACUAAUGAUAUGGGAUUCUCUGGGAAAUUUAUGAUCACUGAAUAACUGAACGAAGCCCUUCUUAUACUCAUCGUAAAGUCCACCAGCCUUAAUGCUUGAUCUCCUGGAGUUGAUGUCAUCUAACAAUCUUUUGAAUGCAUUGGUAGCACUUCCGGGCUCCAUAUUUUCAAAGAUCCCGGAUAUAUUAUUUUUCUUUAUAGCUCUCAAUGAGGCUCUGCUAUCUGUUACUAGUAGAGCAUCCUGCUUGAUUUGAUUCUGCAAAUUUGGUUCCAUUUCUUCGUUUAUUUUAUCGGCCAAUUCCUUGACUAAAUCGCUUUUCUGAAGCCUCUCAAUCACAUCCAUUAAAUCUGUUAAUGCACUUAUUUUCACAGACCCCGACGAGCUUAAGGGUUUCGGCGGCGCAGACUUGGAGGUCAAACUUGGUGUUGGUUUUUGCCAGACUUUCAAAAUUUCGUUGUAUAUGCGAUUGAGAUCGGAAAUUCGACGUUCUCCAGGAUCCUUGAUCGUUUCGGGUUUUUUUACUCGUAGCAUAUUUUCGGGGACAUCCAGUUUUAGCAAAAUCAUACUUCCCACCAGUGGGCUUUUAUCUUCUACUUGUCCUUUAGCUUCGACCAUUGCCUUAGCACUUUGAUUUUCUCUAUUUCGAUAUGGAAGACGAGCUAGACAGUUACCCGAUUCCAAAGGCCGAUCAUCGGUGGCAUCGAAUUUGAUAUUGAGAAAUUCUGUAGAAUCUUUCUCCUUAGCCAUUAGCUUUUCUUUCUUUUUUGUCUUUUUGGGUAACGAAGUGAGAUCCCUUUGUGGUGGUACUCGAUCUUUUGAUUCCAUCUUUGCCUCGACCUCGACCUUGGCAUCUUCGGAUCCCUCAACUUUUAUUCGCUGCCGAUAGGCAUCAUAUAGUCUAUUGUAAUGUUUCGGGACCAAGUCGUCCUGCGUUCUCAACCAAGACGAGGCUUCCUUAUGCGACAUACUGAGUUCCUGAUCCUUUGCCUCAGUGCAACUGAUUGGAAUCGGACGGGUUAUAGCCAGUAUGCAAAAAAUAUGAAACAGAUGUCUGGACAUCUCAUGUUUCUGUUGCAAAUCUGUAAUAUAUCAUAAACACUAUUUUUUACUUGGUAUAAUUGUACAAAAUAUGUGACGUUAUUUCAAAAAGUGUAUAGAUGACUUUCCGCCAUCUGUGCUCAGUAAUCAAGGUCUUAUUACACAAUUUUCAUAUUUAUUGCCACAGAAAUUUUGAUCAUAAAACAAAGGUUUCAGCUUGUCCUACACCACCUUGUUGCCAUCACUGUUGAAGUGCCCAAAGGAGGAUUCAUCCUGGGAGACCAUAUCACUUUGUGCUAUGCCCUGCUCCUGAUCAUUUAUUUGCAUAUAUGGAUAAAAGAUAUUCCUGUGUGUCUUGUAGGACUCUUUAAUCACCUGGGGCGAUGUCCAUCGCAGCAGGGAGUGGGGAGUGCCCAACUUAUCACUGGUGCCGGUCAUGUGUCCCGCACCAAAAGGCUGCUGACCCACCAUCAAUCCGGUGGACUUGUCAUUCACAUUUAAGUUGCCCACAUUGACUCUGAAGGCAUCGUAUGCUUCCUCGAUGAAGUUCUGAUCCUGGGCAAACACCGAACCUGUCAAUCCAUGAUUAAUCUGGGCCACCUUUUCCAUAGUCUCCUUGAGCUUAUGGUCUGGAUAGACAUAGACACCGAGAAUGGGUGCCAGUAGCUCUUCCCGACAUAUGAUAUUGUCCAGAUCCUUGACCAGUACCACCGUUGGAUCUACGUAAUAGCCACGUCGCUUGUCGCAGCUUCCUCCAACGAGGAUCUGGCAACUGGGACUCUGGUCGAUGUACCUUAGCCACAUGUAGAUGCGAUCGUAGGCCCGUCGGUUGAUCACCGCCGAGCAAAAACUAUCGCAAUACGUGGCAUCUUGUCGCACGACCAGAGAUGCAGUGAUCUCAAGAAGAGGUUCUCGUAUGUGAUUCUGCCACAGGGAUUCCGGAACGUACAACAUCGAACAGGAGGAGCACUUCUGGCCGGCGUACUCAAAGGCAGCUCUUAUCGUGCAGGCCACCGCCGUUUCCGGUUCCGCCGAGGAGUGUACGAAGUGGAAAUUCUUGCCGCCUCCCUCGCCCACCAAACGGGGAUAGUUCUGAUAGAAAUUUAUAUUCUGGGCCACCAGUUGCCAGAGCACCUUGAGCACCGUUGAGGUACCAGUGAAGUUAAUCCCCGCCAAUUUCGGAUGUUGCGUCACUACGGAUGCAAACGUUGUCUCCUCGGCGGGCACAAAGUUCACCACACCAUCGGGCACUCCAGCCUCCCGCAGGGCCUUGAAAACGAAAUAGUUGGACAGGAUGGCCGAGUCAGAGGGCUUCCAGAUCACCGAGUUGCCCAUUAAGGCAGGCGUAUAGGCCAGAUUGGCGGCGAUACCCGUAAAGUUAAACGGACUGAUGGCAGCCACAAAUCCUGCAAAUAAAAAGUUAUAGAAAGAUAGAAAGCCAUAUAAAUUAUAUGGAGACCCACCCGAAAGUCCUCUCAACCGCAUGGAGUUCCUGCAAUUGUUUUGGAUGUCUCUAAUGGGUUCGUAGUUGGCCAGCUCACGCAGGAAGACGGGAUUAAUGCGCAUAAAGUCCACCAGCUCGGCUACAUCCAUCUCCGCCUGGCGCAGCGUUUUUCCCUGGCCCAACAUCGUGGCCGCAAUGAUGUUGUAGCGGUAUCUUCCGGCAAUUAGCAUCGCUGCCCGCUCCCAAAUAUCAAUUCGAUCACUAAGCCUGACCUUGUCCCACUUCACCUGCGCCUCCACACUCUUAUCGAUGGCCAUUUGGAUGAGCACGCGGUGGGCAUGACCGUAAUGGGCAAUGGGCUGUUGGAUGUCGUAGGGCAGAACCUGUUGGAAGUCCUCCUUGGCCUGGAACUCCUGGCCGUUAAUAACGAUGGGAACGUGCUCUACCCUAUUGAGAACGCCCAGCAGGGCGGUUUCCAGUUCCGUGCGUUCCUUUGAGCCCUCGUCAUACUGAAGCAGCUUCUCGUUGGCCACCAUCUCAUCCAGCGUAAAGUGCUCGGAUAGCUCGGGUCUCUUGCUGGUACUUCUAACAGACACGAGGCUUAAAUAAGAUUGAAUGUUAGAAAAUAUGUGUUCGAAAAAUAAUUUCAAAUUACGCGCAAUUAUCGACUUAUCGCUACUGCUAUCGAUGUAAUAACAGUAUGUCGAUUAUCGAUUGCAGAACAGCUGUUGAUUCGAU